rnacentral:rRNA from 1 species
AGUGAACGCUGGCGGUAGGCCUAACACAUGCAAGUCGAACGGCAGCACAGUAAGAGCUUGCUCUUACGGGUUGCGAGUGGCGGACGUGUGAGGAAUACAUCGGAAUCUACUUUUUCGUGGGGGAUAACGUAGGGAAACUUACGCUAAUACCGCAUACGACCUACCGUUGAAAGCAUGGGAUCUUCGGACCUUGCGCGAUUGAAUGAGCCGAUGUCGGAUUAGCUAGUUGGCGGGGUAAAGGCCCACCCAGGCGGCGAUCCGUAGCUGGUCUGAGAGGAUGAUAGGCCACACGGGAACUGAGACACGGUCAAGACGACUACGGGAGGCAGCAGUGGGGAAUAUUGGACAACGGGCGGAAGCCUGAUCCAGCCAGACCGCGUGGGUGAAGAAGGCCUUCGGGUUGUAAAGCCCUUUUGUUGGGAAAGAAAAGCAGCAGGUUAAUACCACGCUGUUCUGACGGUACCCAAAGAAUAAGCACCGGCUAACUUCGUG